AUAGUUCCCCGCUAGAGGCACUAAUACAGCAGCUGAGCCUAGACUCUCCCGGAGCCCGAUGGUUGCUUAGCUACAGCUCUGGGAAGGAGGGGGAGGUGCUAACUGACGGCCGACGCUCUGGCAGCCGCCUUGGAACUCUGUGGUGGCAUUCGCGUCUGCGAGCUCCGGAGUGACUUUCCCUUCCUGUGAAGGCAAUCCGGCCCUUUCCGGUGGAGGACCCUUCCCCCUGGGUUGAUCUUGAGGAACUUAAGAGACGGUGUUUUGACUCGACUCCUUUCCCCUUUUUCCUCCCGCUGAGAUCCAGACCUUCUUAGAGAGAACACAGCCAGUGGAGAGUCACUCUAUGGCAGGAAAUAUUCUGUAUUGCCUUACAGGCAGAACUUGCUGAAACUCCAACCUCUGGAAAUUACUGGAACCCUGCAUUCUAGAACUUGCUGGAAACCCACCCUCUGGAAUUGGCCUGCUAGAGUGCCUGAGAAGGAUGUUCAUAGGGAAAUGUUUCAGCAGAGGAACUCUACUACAAAAACCACAAGAGGGAGGGUGCCAGGGGAAGUGGCCUGGUGCUAUUGAAACUGCAACACAGAAGCCAGCCACUGGAGAGAGCUGCACAAGCUGCAGGAACACCCUACCCAGUAAGCCGGCCAGAAGGAGGGAGCAAAACCUUUUCUCUCUGCAACAUCUUUCCAGUUUCCUCUACUGGAAAAGCUUCAUUGCCAGCUGACAAAAGGAAAAAUACUUAAAUGGAUCAGAUCCAUUUUCACAGAGCAGUCAAUAAUGGUGAAUUUGGAGAUGAUAAGCAACAAAUUGAUGAACUGGCACAACUUCCCUGCUACUUUCUUGAUUGUAAUGCCUAGAUAGGGAAUAGGAAAGUUAUUGAAAUGUAUGUGUUCCCAUGAAAUGUGUUUAUUUGUUGUUCAAGAUCAAUACUAAUAAAUGGGGACUAAUGUUCUGAAGUAUUUUGGAACAAUUAGAAUCACCACUCUUAACCCUGUGGCCAAAGUCUUAAAUGGACAGGGAGGAAAAUGUUUAUAAACUGAAGCAAAAAUUGAUCUACAUAGAAAAUAAAUCUGGAGUAUUUACUUGGUAGGUAUACUAGUUUCCUAGGGCUGCCAUAACAAGUUAUUACAAACUGGGUGGCUUAAAACAACAGAAAUUUGUUCUCUCACAGUUCUAAAGGCCAGAAAUCCAAAAUCAAGGUGUUUGCCAAAGCCAUGCUCUAGGGGAGAAUCCUUUGCUUCUUCCAGCUUCUGGUGGCUCCUGGCAUUACUUGGUUUGUGAGAGCAUAAUUCUAAUGUCCGCUUCUACCUUCAUAUGGCCUUCUUUCAUAUGACAUGUCAAAUCUUCCUCUCCUUUUUCUUAUAAGGACACCAGUCAUUGGAUUUCAGGCUCACCCUUAAGCCGGGAUGAUCUCAUCUCCAGAACCCUAACUUAAUUACAUCCACAAAGACCCUAUUUCUAAGUAAGAUCAUAUUCACGAGUACUGGGGUUAGGACAUGGACAUCUUUUUGGAGGACACAAUUCAAUCCACCAACACAUUUUUAUUUUACUUUGGUCUUUAAAAAGAAUAAGCCGAGUUCAGUGGCUCAUGCAUGUAAUCCCAGCACUUUGGGAGGCCAAGGCGAGCAGAUCACUUGAGGCCAGGAGUUCACGACCAGCCUGGUCAACAUAGCAAAACCCUAUCUCUACUAAAAAUACCAAAAUUAGGGCCGUGCGCGGUGACUCACGCCUAUAAUCCCAGCACUUUGGGAGGCUGAGACGGGCGGAUCACGAGGUCAGGAGACCGAGAACAUCCUGGCUAACACGGUGAAACCCCGUCUCUACUAAAAAUAAAAAAAAAUUAGCCCGGCGUGGUGGCGGGCGCCUGUAGUCCCAGCUACUCAGGAGGCUGAGGCAGGAGAAUGGCAUGAACCCGGGAGGCGGAGCUUGCAGUGAGCCGAGAUCGCGCCACUGCACUCCAGCCUGGGC
rnacentral:lncRNA from 1 species